rnacentral:rRNA from 1 species
UACGGAGGAUGCGAGCGUUAUCCGGAUUUAUUGGGUUUAAAGGGUGCGUAGGCGGCUUUUUAAGUCAGCGGUGAAAUUUUGCAGCUUAACUGUAACAGUGCCGUUGAUACUGGGGAGCUAGGAUUUGGUUGCUGUGGGUGGAAUGUGUGGUGUAGCGAUGAAAUGCUUAGAGAUCACACAGAAUAUCGAUUGCGAAGGCAGCUCACAAAGCCAAGAUUGACGCUGAGGCACGAAAGUGUGGGGAUCAAACAGGA